rnacentral:rRNA from 1 species
UCGGGAAUAUUGCGGCAAUGGAGGAAACUCUGACGCAGUGACGCCGCGUGCAGGAAGAAGGUUUUCGGAUUGUAAACUGCUUUUAGACAGGGACGAAAAAAUGACGGUACCUGUAGAAUAAGCACCGGCUAACUCCGUGCCAGCAGCCGCGGUAAUACGGAGGGUGCAAGCGUUAAUCGGAAUAACUGGGCGUAAAGGGCAUGCAGGCGGUUCAUCAAGUAGGAUGUGAAAUCCCCGGGCUCAACCUGGGAACAGCAUACUAAACUGGUGGACUAGAGUAUUGCAGGGGGAGACGGAAUUCCAGGUGUAGCGGUGGAAUGCGUAGAUAUCUGGAAGAACACCAAAGG